CGGAUAACAAAAGAACAUAUGAAUCUGGAAAGCUCAGUGCCCUAACUGAAUCUUUCGGCAAAUCCAAACCUCGAUUAAAGAAAAUGAAGGUUUAAACUUAAUCUCAAACAUAAGGCUGACAAUGGUGAGAAGCAAUGACAUCGUGUUACGGACCGUUGAUCGAUCUCGCAGAAGCUUCUCAUCAUACGGAUCACUUCGUCCAGCUUCUGGUUUUCGUUCACCGUUCCACUCCUGUUCAGGUUUCUCUAAUCUCUCCCUCUGUUCAAAUGCGUGGGUCUUUGUUUUGUCUUUUUUUCUUCAAUAAUUGUGAUUUCUAACAACUCCGUGUGGGUGAAACGAAAGUAUAAAUUAUCUAAAGGAGGAGAAAUAACCAGGACGGACAUUCAGGUGGGCGAUGACACUCAACCCUUUUUCUCCGUCUCCUUGUUGAAAAAAUAACUGCGAUCAAUCGCUGCUGCUGGCGACAUCGUCUUAUUGCAAAAUGUCAAGAUUACAAAAUUCCGAGAUGUUUUCGAGGCCAUAAGUGAUGACUGGUCAUCUGGACUCUGUCAAGUCCACCCUUACCAGUCCCUUGUUUCAAAGAGUGCAAUUGAAUUAGUAGCAGAGUGUAAAAUGGGAAUAGUGGUCAAAGAAAAGCUUUCCAAGGUUAUGGAAUGGGUGCAGAGGACCGGAUAUUAUGCUAUUGAGAAUGUUGACCCGUAUGAUCAUCAAAAGAGGCGACUAUCCAGAAACUGUAAAGUGCCAGAACCGAAUAAAUUGAGAGAAUGUCCCUCACUUUCAGAGGUUUUGUGCCUGAACAGUCACUCAGGAAGUUUAGCUGAAGAUCUUAUAUGCACUGGUUGCCGGCUAUGUGGUUCCCCUUUGCAUCAAGAGCACGGGUGUGGUCUAUAGUUGAUAGAGUUCCACUCUAUUGUGAGAAAAGCUUGGAUCGCCUUCAUACAGUCAGCUUGAUUUACAGGCCUUUUAUGCUAUUGAUGUCUUCUUGAGCUUAUUUGGCUGAUCAUCUUAUAUCACUCAAAGAGUGGAAAUAUCUCAUGUUUUCUGCUGAAAUGGCCAAGGAUAGUUUCUAUUGAAUGAAGAUUUAUAUUAUUGAAUGCAUAUUAUUUGGGAAUAUAUCUUCAUCUGCACAUUAAAAGAGGUCCAUUAUGGUGGUGACCCGUCCAACUCAAUCUCUAAACCCUAUGUUGCAUGGGGACGGUAGAGGAAGGGCGUUUCAAGUACCCGAAACGUCCCUGGCACGGGGACGGCCGGGGUACGCACCGGAGACAUGCCACAGUGACAGCCUGACAGGGUACGGCUGAACGAUACGGGAGACGUUUCGGUGCUCGCUGGGGACGUUUCGGGGACGUCAUUUGCAGCUUUGUUCGAAAUUUCCAAAUCCCCUUUCCAGUACUCAGAUGCAGAAUUGGACGAGUCUAUAUUUGUUUUGUCUAAGAGCUCUAAUGAUAAAGUGAAGGAAAAGGUGGAGAAAGAAGAGUGGAGGCCCCCUGAGUCAAAACUCGAGCUCACUGACUGGGAUUAAGAUUCAGUAAUCGAAGAUGAACCAAGAGAAUUUUGACUGUUAUUUUCCCCCCGUUUCCCAUUUGGGUUAUUAGCGAACCAAAUACUAUGGUUAACCGGCAAAAUGUAAAAUGAAAAAAUAUUUUUGGGUGCCCAAUCACACCCUAAUCAAAGAUUUAGAGAGCGGGUUAAUCU